rnacentral:rRNA from 1 species
AACGCGAAGAACCUUACCUGGGUUUGACAUCCUCGGACAACCGUAGAGAUACGGCUUUUGUAGCAAUACAACCGAGAGACAGGUGCUGCAUGGCUGUCGUCAGCUCGUGUGGUGACAUGUUGGGUUAAGUCCCGCAACGAGCGCAACCCCUAUGAUUAGUUGCCCCGCAAGGGGCCCUUUAGUCAGACUGCUCUGUGAAACGGAGAGGAAGGUGGGGAUGACGUCAAGUCAGGAUGGCCCUUACGGCCAGGGCUGCACACGUACUACAAUGCUCAGUACAGAAUGAACCGAAACCGCAAGGUGGAGGCAAUCCCUAAAAACUGAGCCCAGUUCGGAUUGAGGGCUGCAAUUCGCCCUCAUGAAGUUGGAAUCGCUAGUAAUGGCGCAUCAGCUACGGCGCCGUGAAUACGUUCCCGGGCCUUGUACACACCGACUGUAC